GAUGAACGCUAGCUACAGGCUUAACACAUGCAAGUCGCGGGGCAGCAUGGGGGUUGCUUGCAAUCCCCGAUGGCGACCGGCGCACGGGUGAGUAACGCGUAUCCAACCUGCCCUUCACCACGGGAUAACCCGGCGAAAGUCGGACUAAUACCGUAUGUUGUCCAUUGACGGCAUCCGAUUUGGACGAAAGGUUUGGCGGUGAAGGAUGGGGAUGCGUCCGAUUAGCUGGACGGCGGGGUGACGGCCCACCGUGGCGACGAUCGGUAGGGGUUCUGAGAGGAAGGUCACCCACACUGGAACUGAGACACGGUCCAGACUCCUACGGGAGGCAGCAGUGAGGAAUAUUGGUCAAUGGGCGUAAGCCUGAACCAGCCAAGUAGCGUGCAGGAUGACGGCCCUAUGGGUUGUAAACUGCUUUUAUGCGGGGAUAAAGUGGCCCACGUGUGGGUUUUUGCAGGUACCGCAUGAAUAAGGACCGGCUAAGUCCGUG
rnacentral:rRNA from 1 species